GACUCGGUGGUGGAUGGUCCGCAUCUGUCGCUCGUAUCUAUACCGUAGUUCUUCAACGUUUCACAGAAGGUGCCUGUUCGAUUCCGGCCCGGGUCA